AGUCUGCUGAGGCAGUGAGUAUUUCGUAGGUCGAGACAAAACGAAAACAUUUUCAAAUAGGAAACCCUUCGAGGGACUGAGAAAACCAACGCAGCACUUUUGCCGCCGCUGUUAUCACCCCUACUAGAUUGAUCAAAAUGAUAGGUUAUGUUUCAGUUUAUUAUGGAGGAAAAUGGAUCGAAAAUGAUCAGAACAUAAUGGAAUACGUUGGAGGUGAUAGAAAAGUGGUCAAAAUUUCAAAGAAAAUGACACUUAAGGGAUUACUCCAAUUGUUAAGUGAAAAAUGUCAUAUCGAUCGGACCUUGAAUAACAUUCAACUAUGCAUGCAACCAAAAUGGAUCAACAUCAAAUGCCCUGCCAAAAUCAAAAAUGAUGAAGAUGUUAAGUCUCUUAUUGACUUGUCUAUCCACUCCGAGGAAUGUGUUUCAGUUUUUGUCACAAACCCUUUACGCGGUGGUGGCAAUUAUGUUGGACCAUUUGUUAACAAUGUCCCAAUUGAUCCAUUUAAGUGGUUACCUGAUUUUCCUCCUCAGCCAUCAACAUCAACAUCAACUAAUUCAAGAUUUGUGACAGUGGGAAAUUUUUUAAAAAUUGGCGACAUAUUCAGAGAUAAAAAACAUUUGAAAGAUGCAAUGCGUCAAUUUGCGCUUGAGAUAUGAUUCAAGUAUAAAGUGUAUAAGUCAGACAAGGGGAGAUGGGAGGUUAUGUGCGUAGAUAAGCAAUGCCCAUGGCGUGCACGGUCAACAAGGAUGGUACCCAGUGAGUUAUUCAGGCUUCGUUAUAUACAUCCUACGCACACAUGUUUAAAAGAUCAAAUAAAACCAUAGUAUAGGCAUGUUUAAAAGAUCAAUGAAACCCAAAACUGAUGCCUAGUUUCAUACAAUCUAGUUCAUCGAAAAGGGAUAAAUGCGGGAGAUCAUGACACUCUUUACUGCAAUUGCAAACAUCCUUCUAUUUAGUAUUAUUUAUGUUAAUUUAUAACUUGUCAAUGUACUUAUUAAAAUGAGAUAUUGUAAUAUUAAUGUUAAUGUUGAUUUCAUUCAUAUA